UGAAGGAUUGGGGAUAUCAUCUCAAAGGAUAAUGUUAUGUUUAAGAUUAAUAAGGUUAAUGUUAUGGUUAAGGUUAAUAUUUAUGUUUUCAGGAAUUGGGGAUUUCACCUUAGAUAAAAUUUAAUAUUUGUAUUUCGAGGGUCCAGGAAUAUCUCACCUUAGAUGAAAUUUAAUAUUUGUAUUUCGAGGGUCCAGGAAUAUCUCACCUUGGAGGAAAUUUAAUAUUUGUAUUUCGAGGGUCCAGGAAUAUCUCACCUUAGAUGAACUUUAAUAUUUGUAUUUUGAGCAUCUGAAAAUAUCUCACCUUAGAAAAUUCUAGCUAUAUCUUAUUUGUGUUUUAAAGGUUUAAAGAUUUUUCCGAUUUGAAUUUUUUCCAUAAUAGAUAACUAUAUAUUUGUAUAAAUAAACGAAAUAAUUACACUUAUACUCUUAAUAUUUGUUUUGAGGGAUUUGGGAUCUCGUCUUCGAGAAACCAAAUAUUUGUUUUGAGAGUCUAGGGACAUCUCAGGGGAGAAUAUUUACAAGAUUCCAUUUUGAAGCGUGUAACACAAUUAAUAAUUGCAUUUAUAAAUAAAUAACGUAUAUAAUUUAACCUAAAUACAACUGUGCAAAUGAUGGUAUGCUAUACUAUGACCAUAGCUCGAUAAAUGCCCUCGGCAGAGAUAAAAUAUUAUUUAAGCAUUAAUUUCCGUAACAGGAUCCACACUUCCCAAAUUACACCAUCGGUUUAACCAUAUAAAACGUCUAUAUUUUAAUUUAAUGUGUACUAUCUGCACCAGGAAAUGGUUCGCUGUGGUGGUUGUGGUUCGUUUUUAAUUAAAAAAAAAAAACGAACAUAAAUUUUAUUAAGAAAAAAUAAUCUAAAUAUAUUUGAAAAUACAAAAAAUACAAUAAUGCAUAUCGAAUAGGAAAACGUCAAUCGGCAUAUUGUGCCAUAGUAAUUCUGUUUUUAGUUGUGCGGUGGUUUAAUCUCUAUUUUGGUAAAAAAAAAAAUGUCCGAUCGUAUAAAAAAAGAAAAUCUGUUUGUAUUCUUAUGCGGUGUGCAUAAUAGAAAUCCGUUUUGCGCGUAUUUUAAUCAUCCUAUGAAUUGUUACCUACGUACGCAUGUUGAUAGAAUGAUUCGAUACCUGAUUGGUUCUUUAAAUAUGGGUUCGAAACACGUCUCUCGAUAGGAAACGAGGUGACGUCACUUCCGUCCGGGAAUUUAUCGAUCGUUCGAAUCCGUCCGUCGGAGGGCGCGGUUUCGUCUCUGGGUGGUUGGUCUGUAGAGAGAGUUUGGACGACUCAUCAUCUUUAGCAGGCAUCCGGAAAGAAGGUCCGUCUCUGAGAAAGACGGUCCUUCUUACACGGUCGGGCUGCUAAUCGAUUAGGACUGUACGGAAGGCCGCAAAACGGACGGACCGACGGUAUGGGCAUUAUCGAUCGUUCGGCUAUUGUCCGUCUUUGCCGUAUCGGCAGAAAUUCUCUUCGAUUGUGUCGUCACGUACGGACCGAUGCCCGAUCACGUAUAUAAUAGCCCUCUCCCGGUCCCCGAACUGCUUUCUUCUCCCUCUUUCUAUUUUUUCUCUAUUAACCUCCUGAUGGACCGGCCCCGCUAACUAUUUCUCUUCUGUUUCCACUAUGUGGAUGGUCGUAUCACUAGUAGUAUAUUGAAAGUAGAGACAUAUUGCCCCUAGUCUGUUUCCAUAUUGGUAAUCAUCGGCAAUCGAUUUAGAUUCAGAGAUUUUGUUUGUUCGGUAAAUUUUCCGAUUGAAUUGGCCAACGGCCGAAUCCUGGGGUAAGGUGGUUCGAACCAGAUUAUAUUCCGUAAAAAGUUUGUGGCGCGGAAUAUUGGUAAAAUCUUCCACUUACCUAUAUUUUCUUCUUGUCCGGUUUCUAUUUGAUAUACCUUCCGGGGCAGUCUUCCGAAAGACUAAUGGACUCUAACUCUACCAUGAAGUCCCGGAUUAAUGACAAUUCAGAGGAUGCUGGAAAUCGUUUUUAAACCUCGAUUUUUUUGAGUUUUAUUUGCUCAAUAUGGAGGAAUCGUUCAACAGAUGAUUACCAGAAGCAUGAUUAAUGAAACAAAUCAGUUUCUUUAUAAAAAAAGAAAGAAAACCAAAAUAAAAUUCAUCCUGUUUGAUUGUUGCAUGCAUUGAUAUCCUCCAGAAAUACGCGUUUUGACAUCACGAUAAUGCUCAUUUAAUGAAGAAGAACGGUCAAUAGAAAGUUAUUUUUUGGGCUUUUUGUUGAUGCAGAGCGAUGGAAAGUGGUAGUAUGAUGCGCCUGGUGAGCUUGGUCCGCCCGUGCUUUCGAAAAGUCGACCUGGCCUCACCCGCUGCCUUCGCGCCGGAAUGGCCGGCUCCGUUUCAUUAAAUCGCGGACGCCCGCGGCGAUGACCGGGAAGUUCCAUUACCCACUCCGUCCCCGGGACGCCUUAAACGCGCGACUCGUCUGUUUCCGGCCUGCCGGUCGCCUCCCGCUUUUAUGUUUUCCACCGAUGUACGCAGCGGUCGGUACCACCCGAGGAUUCCCGGGACCGGCAAAAGGAAGCCCCGGAGAGGAGUUAACGGCGCCCAGACCGAUGGCUUCUGGUUGGAAAGAGACGAAACCGGGACGGCGGAUGGCAGCCCGGAGUUGAAGGGACAGAGAUAGCGGAGGUUGAGUCGGAUUGGGGGCGGGAAGAGAGAGAGAGAGAUAGCGUUGGCCGGUCACGCUCGACCCUUCCCGGUUUCUAUCCAGGAGAGGAAGAAGAUCCGGAUUCUGGCGACCGAAUGCCGAUAAUAUCGGCGAAGAUAAGUGGGCGCGGACACAAUGGACGGCCGUUGGAACGCGUUACUUUCUCUAUCCUAUCGGGUCCGGUUCGGCCAGUUAUCUGCCCUUCUCUCCUUCCGUCGUGGCUGGUUCUUCCCUUCUCCAUUCUUUCCCGCCCUCUACCGGCCAUGGUAAAGAAUCAUUAUCUUACAUGGGUUCCAAUAUCAUUCAGCUUGGAUGCAAGUACAUAGAAAGCCACUCUGUUAUGUCUCAAACACUCAACUUUUCGCCGGCAUAAUAUAUUUCAUUGGUAUUAGCCGGUUCGAAUAUGACUGAAACCCCUUUGAAGUCUCGUUUCUAGGACUAAAAAGAAACUCAACCAGAGAGACUACUUUCUUGGAAAAAAAGCACAGGUUUUUUCUCGGGAAUCUAACGAAAAAACCAAAAAUAGCUUGAUCGAUCAAUCUUUAUCGAUUCAAACAACUAUCCCACUCGAUCCGACCAUCAAUUUAUUAGUAUCACCGAAAUGUACCUUGCCACGUUAACGCCCACUCGGGGGAAUUCCAACCAGUUUGGCUUGUUACAGUAAUUUUCGAAUUCCCCGUAAUAAUAAGAUAUUAAUUAAAGAGGAAACUACAACAAUCCGUAAAUAUUAAAAUUACAUUAAUAACCUUCGUUCCCAUCAUCGAAUCGUAUCUUUCACAUCGUUUCGUAUUUUUAAUUUUCUGUAAAUCUUCACAAAUGUAGAUCAGAUUUAGAAUUUUUGCCAGCGAAACACUAACGUAACUACUUCACGUGAUACUUGAGCACCAGCUGGGGCCCCAUCAGAGUUAGGGGCCCCAAACAAGUGUUUCCGAAUUGCGACAUUCGAGUCUAUAGAAUACUGUAUAUAUUUUAUGUUAUAUAUAGCCUAUAUAUUAAAUUUUUAAAAUUUUAAACGUGCUUACUUAAAUUUCAGCCAGGUCCCUCAUGUAUUUACGUUACUAGAUAGAAUUACAACUUUCUUC
rnacentral:lncRNA from 1 species